UACAGAGGGUGCGAGCGUUAAUCGGAAUUACUGGGCGUAAAGCGCGCGUAGGCGGCUUUGCAAGUCGGGUGUGAAAUCCCCAGGCUUAACCUGGGAACUGCAUUCGAGACUGCAUUGCUAGAGUAUGGGAGAGGGAAGUGGAAUUUCCGGUGUAGCGGUGAAAUGCGUAGAUAUCGGAAGGAACAUCAGUGGCGAAAAGCGACUUCCUGGACCAAUACUGACGCUCAUGUGCGAAAGCGUGGGAGCAAACAGGAUUGAGAUACCCUUC
rnacentral:rRNA from 1 species